rnacentral:misc_RNA from 1 species
AGUCGUAACAAGGUUUCCGUAGGUGAACCUGCGGAAGGAUCAUUACCAAUCCAAAGAUUACAUCUUUUCCUGUGAACUAUUGAAUUUGUUCAAUAUUUGGGUAGAUAUAUUAUAAUCUAAAUAAUAUAUGUUAUCUAAAUGAUAAUAUAUCUACCCAAGUAUUAUAAUUAACAAUUCCAAUUUAAAAUAUAAUAUUAAAUUUGUUUGGACACUAUUUUAAUUAAUAGUAUAUCUAAUACAAAAUAAUUUUAAAAAAAUUACAACUUUUAGCGGUGGAUCUCUUGGCUCAU